CCUACGGGAGGCAGCAGUGGGGAAUAUUGGACAAUGGGCGAAAGCCUGAUCCAGCAAUGCCGCGUGAGUGAUGAAGGCCUUAGGGUUGUAAAGCUCUUUUACUAGGGAUGAUAAUGACAGUACCUAGAGAAUAAGCCCCGGCUAACUCCGUGCCAGCAGCCGCGGUAAUACGGAGGGGGCUAGCGUUGUUCGGAAUUACUGGGCGUAAAGAGUACGUAGGCGGUUAUUCAAGUCAGAGGUGAAAGCCUGGAGCUCAACUCCAGAACUGCCUUUGAAACUAGAUAGCUAGAAUCAUGGAGAGGUUAGUGGAAUUCCGAGUGUAGAGGUGAAAUUCGUAGAUAUUCGGAAGAACACCAGUGGCGAAGGCGACUAACUGGACAUGUAUUGACGCUGAGGUACGAAAGCGUGGGGAGCAAACAGGAUUAGAUACCCUGGUAGUCCACGCCGUAAACGAUGAUAACCAGCUGUUCGGGCUCUCAGAGCUUGAGUGGCGCAGCUAACGCAUUAAGUUAUCCGCCUGGGGAGUACGGUCGCAAGNUUAAAACUCAAAGGAAUUGACGGCUGAGACGNGCGAGACGACGACGAGGGAGAGG
rnacentral:rRNA from 1 species